UUUUUUUUUUUUUUUUUUUUUUGUUGUCAUUCCUGCCUAAAGAUGUUAUCGUUCUUUACUAAAGAAUUGUCAAAGUAGGGUAAACCGUGGGUGUCCUUUUGUCAGCAUUUCUGGAUUAACAACAAUAUAGGUGAGCAUGGACGGAUACACCCACAGACGCAUUUGUAGAAACGUGUAUAUCCAAAUAUGGGAGUGCAGGAGAUCCAUCUAUAUGUUUCUUUUGUAACUUUGCUUUUAACUUUUGACUUGGCUACAAAAGUACAAAAUGGUAAAGCAUUAGGUACUUUUUUUUUUUUUUUUUUUAAUUUUGGAAACGUAGUCCUAAUGUUAUUAGUAUAAAAUAGUGGCAACUAGCGAGGUGUUUAUAGCUAGGAAAAAUUGAACUAAAAGAAAAAUGAACGACUUGGGGUGAAAACGAGUCUAUGAACAAAGAUGAGAAGAUCCAACUACCUAUAUUUCUUGUAGUUUUUUCUUUCAUGGCCAUAUUAUUUUAAGUUCCCUCGACUAUCUUAAAACGUAGCAAUUACAAAUUUUCAAAGCUAUUCAGAAACUUGUACUGAAUAGAAACUGUUCAUAAUUGUUCUUUGCUGCACCAACUUGCUCCAUCGAGCAAUUGAGUUUUAUUGGGGACUAGUAACAGUACAACAGUGUAAUGGUCAAUACCCAAAUGAAAGUAAAACAAUAAUACCAAAACUGAUCCACAUAGCUGAAAAGCUAGGCAUAGAUAAAGUUAGUGAAAAAACAUGGAGGCAAAAAACUUCCUUUAUACCUUUAAGAAUAGAAUUCUGCCAAUCGAUCCGACCUCAAGAUACAAGACAGACUUACCAGCAGCUAACAGAUAAUCCCUUGUGUAUAAAGCCAAAAUGAUUAUUGAUUUGUGGGUACUUAUCAGAUGGGGACUUCAAACGCGACAUCUGUUGAUUAUCUUUGAGGUGUAAAAAAAAAAAAUAAGAAUCCUCUUUUGUAAUUUUACUGUCCUAUCCCUUUCCUUUAAUCCAGAAUGAGGUAUGUCAUCUUGUUUACAAUCUUUAGUAGUUCUCCAAAAUAGCUGAUUUGUGGAAUCAAUCUCCAUUGUGUGUGUGUGCGUGUGUUUUUUUUUUUAAGUUAGAUAACAAAAAAUGAAAAAAAAAUUGGUUUAAAUAAGUAAAGUUGAAUUAAACAUUCAGCUUCAUAAAAAGUUAACUGCCAAUUUUCUCUCCUUAACUUUUUUACUCCUUUAUAUACAUGAAAAAUUGAUCAAUCUUCUACUAAUGUUUAUCCAGAGCCGGCCUGAACUAAAACUUUCCAUAUGCUUUCUGCAGACUGCCUUCUAAUUUUUUUUUUUUAAAAAAAAGACCCUCCUAACACGGUUAAUGGUUUCCCCCCACACCCCCCCCCUCCUCCUCGCUAGUUAUAUUAGAAGCAGGAUUUCCUUUUUCUAAAACUGCACAAGCUAAGUUUUGCUACUGUUCUAGAAGACUAGGAACUUAUGCGUGUGUCUUAUUCGUCCCAUCCGUUUGCUCUUUCUUGUUAAUUCUAGAAGACAUUGACGUGAAACAAAAGUAGCACUUAGUAUAGUAAGUAAUCACGCACUUCACUCUUAUAUUAGGUUUCACACUAUAAAUACAAACAUUGACAUUUAUUGACCCCCAAAUAAAUGCAAAUACAGUUAUUUACACAAACCCUUUUUUUUGCAUGCAUAUCCACCAACUUUUCCCCUAGAUUCUUUUCUGACAGGACAUACAAUAAAUAUAUCUAACUGAAACACAUUUUUUCUUUCUUUAUUAAAAUGUUCUUGAUAUCAUCUUGCUCUAGAAGCAUUUGAUCCAGCCAUUGUCCUGACCUCUUGUUCUUUCCCUUCUUUUCCCCCAGUUGACUAAUACGCGGCUUAAAUACCUACCCGUCGUCUAGACAUGCAUAUUUAUUAAAUCCUCCCCAACAAGAAAAUCAUCAUUUGCGUCCACCAAGCAUUUUAUCCUUCUCCUUUCUUAUUACACUACUCUCCAAUUCUCAACCAAAAUGGAUGAUGAUACCAAGAACAAAACUCCUCAUCUCCAAGAUGAUCACCAUCAGCUAGCUGCGGCAGAAACAGAAGAAGCAGAUGAAGCCCUUUCCCUUAGCGGGCUUAUCUUAAACUCGGAUGAAAUCGAGGUCCAAGAUCGAAGAAGAUCAUCCUUUUCUGAUCCAUCAGAGCUUUUCGAGUUCUUGAGCGACAAAAACUCCCAGAUGUCGCAUGCAGAAGAUAUCAUUUUCUGCGGUAAGCUUAUGCCAUACCAAGAAAACCCCUCUCGUCUGCCCAAUGCUCACAAUUUCCACAAGCAUCAUCAACUCACCAGACAUGAGAAACAACAAAGCUUCCAUCGUAGAAGAUCCGAGUCGUUAAGUGACCUAAAAACCAGCCUGUCCAACAGUGCUAGAAGAAACCAGCAUCAGUUCAUGAGGGCUAGCCGGUCUUUAGACUGCCGAAAGUUGUAUGGAAACAAGUACAACUCCCCCUCGGCAGCGGGCGGUUUCGCCAGGGCUGAAAAAGUAGAGAUUGAGCGGAGCUCGUCGACGAGAAGUUCGAACAAGGGUUUUAAUGCCACUGGGAUGAAAGAAAAGACUGCAAGACCAAGGUGGUACAUGAUGUUUGGGCCUGUGAGGUUUCCACCGGAGAUGGCUUAUCAAGAUAUAAAGAGCCGGCAAGUGCGGCAGAGUCCCGGAAGUUUGUUUACGUCAUUGGAGUCCCGCGAGAAGGCCAUUGUGAACCGGCCGCAAGAUCGGAGAUGGUCGGGCUCUUGGGAUUUGCUUAGGGUAUUAAGCUGCAAGGGCCAUGCAAGUGUAGCUGUAACGGCGUCGUUUGGCUGCCUGCAGGCGCAGCACAGUAUUUGAAUAGUUGACAUUGCCUCUGUCAUGUGCGUACCUCACGUGACUACUAAUACUUUGACAUAAUUGUCCAUGGGGGACGUGGAUGGAACUGGCUGAUUGGGCUGUGAAGAGGAAGGGCAAAAUGGGGUGUCUAGAAAGAGACAUCACGUAGAAGAGAAGAUAGUGUACUGUGAGACCACAUGGUUAAUGAUGAUCAUGACGCCUCAGAUGUAAUGAAGAAGGGUAGAAUAUUUUGUCCUCCAAUUUGUGUAGGGCCAUUUGAAAAAAUUAAUGGGGAUCACGGGGUCCCAAUGACGACAUGAAUUUGGUAUUUAUUUUGGGGAGUACAAUUUUUAAAUUUCUAACUUAUUAGGGGAAUUUUUCCAGCCUUGGCAGUUUGUUAUUUGGAAUGUUUGUGUGUUCUUGAAGUCGGCCAUUUUUUUUUUUAAAAAAAAAUCUAUUGUGUAUGGAUGUAAUUUGUCCUUCAAGUACAGUACUACAAAAAUUAUAGAGAUAAACGUUCUCAUCUCAAUUCCAACUUGAGAUAGGAAAACAAGUAGCAGCAGUAGAAUAUUUAAAUAACGAGGUUGCUGUAUAUUGCCAUGCGCUAUAUGGUGAUUGUUGAGCCUUUACGCAUUCUUGCGAUAAAAUUAUACCUCUGAUUUGAGCACUAAUGUUUCAGUGAGGUCCAGAAAGGCAAAGGUAAUAUUUGUCGAAAACCAUGAUUUAGAAAAGGAGCUUAUAGUACAUCAUAUAAACCGACAACUACAGAAAAAACUACAAAGAUGUCCCCGAAGACGGAUAUUCACAAGGACAUAAGUGAAAAUUUCUAGUGUUUGAAGGGGAUAAAAGGUACUUUCAAAAUCUUGGGACGCAGAAACUAAUUCCUACAAGAACAUAUGAAUAAUAUUUACAGUUAAUUUCUUAAGAAAUAUAGAACUGCUGCUGAUGAUGAUGCAAGUAAAAUAAAAAGAUAGUUGAAAAACGUGCUGAUGAUGCAAGUAAAUAAAACUCGGUAAAUAAUUCAUUAAUUGUUACUUUGACAGUGGCCUUCAUAUUAUUGUCUUCCUUGAUCAAGUAAUAUGUGAUCCUCGAUCGUUUAUCUCAUGCAAAAUGUCUAGGGCUGGUGGGGUGAGUGGUGAUGGGUAUACGGGUGAUGCCUGUGAACACUUUAACAGAAAAAUCUCUGUUCAGCACGAAAAUGAACCCAUUCAUUUCAUUGUCAAUGGAUCUGCAUUAGCAGCCUACCCCUUCAUAAUUCACCAUUGACGUCAGUGCUGUUAUCCUAUUAUCUUCGUCAUGAAGAUAGACAGAAUAAAGGUCGAAAUCCCUAAAAGUUAAUUAAAUAGCACUAGAUUUAACUUACAUAAUAAACUGUUGUUUUCAUUCUAAGUAUUUUUCACGUAAUUUUGAAAUGUCACAUGUUUCACCAUUUUCAGGAAUUAUGUAUAAGAAACGUAUGGUGAUCAUAUAGAUCGUAGGACCAAAUAUGAGUACUACAAACAACGUGCAAGGAACAUAUUUUAGACCCCCGUCCUACGUUAAUUGGCCAAGUUAAUUAGAUCCAUUUGAGUAACAAUACUCUCUGGCAAUAUUGUUAGACUUCAUAUUCUGAAGUUUUAUUCAUGAAAAUUUGGAUCGAAGUUUAUUUCCAAGAUAUUAUUUGCUUCCAUUUAGAAACAUGUUUUUCAAUCAAUCAAUUUAUUUUUUCAACUACUUUUUUAUCUUGUACACAUCACAUCAUAAAAAAUAUUACAGUAAUUAUUUUACAUAUAUAAUCUCAUAUCCAAACAAAUGUUGUCAUAGGGUUUUAAUAUCUCCAAUUUUAGUGACUUAACUUUUGUAUUUGGGUGAAAAGUCUGGAGUUGAGUAGCUGGGACAUGUGCAUAAUCGCGUGCACUAGAAGUUUUUGUACCACAUUAAACAGUUUGGAUGCCUUCUUCAGUUUGAAAUUCUACAGCAAACCAAUUUGAUAGUGAUUGGAUAGCCAAUCAACCAACGAGACUUCUUAUGAUGUAAUGUAUGCGAGAUAAAACGGUAGUUGAAAAAUAUAUUAAGUGAAUACGAGGUCUCCACAAUAUCCAGAAAAAGUUUUCCACAAAACUAACAAUCAAAACAAGCAAAGUGGGAAAAAACAAAAAAAUUUUGUUACUAAAAGUUUAUAAAAACCAAUUCAAGAGCAUUAUGUAGAAAGCUAACAGUAAGGUGCGUGGCGUACUUUUCUCUUGCGGUUGAAACAUCCAUGAUUUCCUUUUUGCUGGCUUAAUUUGCUUCAAUGAGUAACCGAGCAUUAUGUUUUGCUUCACAUUGAAGCUUGUUCUCCGUUGAUAUUUCUCUCUUCAUCUCUUUUAUUGCAUUACAGCUCAACUACCCUAGUAAUUAAAGUGUCGUGCAUCUUUAUAAUGACGGGACAAAGAAAAACAUCGGAAGUGAUAAACUAAAUAGUACGCUCUAUGUCAAUUGUCAUGAAAAAAAAAAAAAUCAAGACAUUCGUUACUACACUUCACUUAUCUGCAUUGUUUGGAUUGUAGUUUUCUAUCAAAAUUCUUUUUCAUAAAUAUAUUUUUCAAUCAUCUUUUUAUUCCACGCUCUAUGUAGUAUAUGUAUGUAUGCUUUUGACAAGAUUUAUAUAUUGGAACUUCAUUUAAAUAUGCACAAGAUUUUAACACUCUCUUAAUUUUUGUUUGAAAACUAAAAUUUUUUUAAUAAACAUGUUUACUUUUUUAUUAUACAAUCAAUCUUUUUAGCUUUCAAACUGACAAUAUUUGAAUAGUUAGAAAACUAUUUUGUUCUAAAACAUAAAUAAAAUAGUGAUAAAUAAUGCUAUAUUUUUAAAACCAGUGACAUAUUUUUGUUUUAUAUUUGACUAUAUUAUUUAUUUAUGUAAAAGUAAGAUAAAAUUAAAUUAAAUCUUCGAUUAAUACCUAUAUAAUCAUUAUAUAUCUUUCUAAGUGCAAUAAUUACAGUCUAAAAGCAUUUUAUUAGAUAUUUUAUGUAUAUUAAAAUUACUAUCUUAUAUUUAUAAAUAUUAAAUUAAUACUUACCGAUUCAUUCACUAAUUGAACCAGUGACCAAUUGACUCAAUUCCUUCGUGGGAGCCCUUGUCCCACCAAAUUUAAUAACUAUGGUUUUAGCAACCCUAGCCAGCCCACAUUCCUUUUUUUUUUUCGGGCUAGACUAAUUCCACUCCGGCCUGGAAAAGGAGGUCCCACUCCACUCCAAGCACAGUAACAAGGGGGCUCGAAUCUUGAUUGUCCAGAUAAAUCUAUCAUAUUCUAAAGAGAGAAAGCUGACCGCUCGAGCUGAUCCUCGUGUACGUUAAUUUUGUAGUAUGACAUAUGGAAUGCGCAGAAGACUCAGAACGGAUAGGAUGUCACGCGAUUUGCAUGAAAUGAGGGUCUGCUAACGUUAAAUGUGAACAGAUAGCGUCCAUUUGACGGACUUGUCAGCUGGGGACAAGUCAAGGAGGUCAGCUUAAUUUGGCACCGGUACUUUUGGUUUAAUUCUAGUGUGGACAGAUGCAAUACUACAAAAAAUGAGGUCAUUUUUUCAUUUUGACCUAGCUCCAAUCCAUCAGUCUUAAGAGCAACAAUGGCGUAUGUUAAAAGAGAAUUUAAGAAUUCACCUAGUACUUAAAUGGAAAAAUUCAUAUCAUUAGAUUUCAAAGUGAAUAAAUUUACUCAUUAAGCUGUUAUAACAUAAUUUUUGUGUUUUUUUUUUCUAACAACUGAAUGAGGUUCAACUCUGAUCUGUGCAUCUAAGAAAACUCUAAGAAUUAACUCAUAAGGAUACUUGCCAGUGUUGGGUGCGUUGGGUUAAUUUCAUUUUGUACCCUUGAACAAUAUCCGAAUUUUCACUUUGAUUUCUAAAUUUCAAAAUGGGACGCAUUAGUUUAAUCCCUAUAUUAUAAAAUUUGUCAUAUUUAAUCCGUAAAGUAUAGUACUUUUGCCCAAUUUAGUCCCCAAAGUAUACCCGCUAAGGUAUAAAAUCUGUCCCACUUCCUUGAGUAAGACAAAUUUUAUAGUGUAAGAACUAAAGUGUCUUAUUUUAAAGUUUAGGAAUUAAAAUGAAAAUUUGGAAACAGUUGAAGGGGUGCAAAAUGGAAUUAACCCGGGUACGCUUGAUUGAUUAGUUAUCCAUCCUUAAGAAUGGAGGGGCUUUCAUGCCUGCAUCAUUCACGUCAAACUUCAUGAGAGCCGGACUGGGUUUGUAUUAUUUGGGGCUUCCAAUAGUUAUGACCAAUAACAAAAUUACCCAAUUAGAGACUCCAUCUUCUUCCUAUAUUGCCUAAAAAAUGAAAGGAAACAAGAGUACAGUGGUAAAAGAGCAUGAAACUCAACAACUAGAAGCACAAGAUAACCAUCUAGAAUGCCAGGCAUCCAAUUUAGAAAGGGAGCAUGCAGCAAGUUAAAGGUAAAACAAGUAAAAGCAUGUGGUAUUUCAAAAUAAUGCAGCAUAUACCAUCCACAGAAUUUGUUUACUAGAGAUGAGCUAAAAUAUCUACCAUGAAAAUACACCAAGAUUAAGGAGCUAAUUCAAUACAAUGCAAGAAAAGUAGCAAUGUGUCCAUAUAAAACACUAAUGGAGACAAUAACACCUCUUUUACAGGCAAAAAGUGGCCAAGAGUCCAAGAUUCGACAUAAACUUUAACAGGUUCCUUUACUCAAAGUCUCCUACACAGAAACUGUGUUCUCAUGUUGACCAGUUAUAUCAUACAGUGCUAAAUAUAAAUCAUUGGUGCAGAAAAGUCGGUUUUUGGGCUCAUACUCCCAUUGAGAGCCAUCACGGGACAUGACUCCUAUACCAGUAUGUGAUAUACAUAAAUGUAAGUACCAUUCAAUGCUGAGACAACUAAUACAAAAUUUAGACUAACUUGGAUGCACCACUUGACCAGUAUAUAUCUCCACAAACAAUAAAAGAAUUUAAGUAGCUGCAGAUAUCCUAAGAAAAACCCAGAAACUUGGAUUGCCAUUGGAAAAAAAGAAGUCAACAACUUCAAGAUAAAUGGCAUAUCUCUGAUUACAUAAAGAAGCAAGAAUCAGGGAAAAUCAAGUCAAAGGGUGGUUCCUUGGUUUCUCAUCAUCAUCUUCUUCUUCCUCCUUUUUUCACUUCUCAGAAGAAAAUUUUGGACACUCAAAUGACAGUAGAAACUACUACGGGAAGCAUACACAUCUUAUCAAAUGGACCGAGCUAUGGCUCUAACAUUUCAAACAUUAAAGAUGAAAAAUUGAAAUCCUGAAAAAUUAGAUCAGCAGCAAAAUAAAUCUUUCUUUAGGGUGAUUAAAAUUAAAAUCUUUCCUAAGAUGAGGGAGUACAAAGUAAUCAACUGUUUAAGAAUAAGUAGCAAAUAGAUCUCUAGAUUUUCUCCCUACUUUGAGAAGAGUUUAAUUAGCACAUUCAUUUGUAAGCUUGAAACCAUCUUAAGAGUUAUUCUAUUGGCAUUAUGUCACCUCAUAAUCUUCAAGUAUUCAUUUCAUUGACUCACAUGGAGCAUGUACAACAUAAAAGCAACUGCCGCAUAUUUUCCAAAAAUGCAUCGGAUAUAAAAGCAUAGCAGCAAUGCAAGAACAAACAUGUGAUGGCUAAUCGAGGUCCAAUUCAACAAGAAACUUAUAUUGAUAGCGAUUUUCUAUCUACGUUCAGUAAUUUAAUUUUUCCGUCAUGUUCCUUGUACAUAUUUACUAUUUGCAGGUGUUAAGAUCCAGAUAGCAUGUAUUUUAAUUGGAAAAGCACGUGAAACAGUAUGUAUACGCUCAAUUACACAAAGCAAGUGCCUUAACAAUGUUUGAACAGAAUAUUUCCUGUCAGAAUGGUGAAUCAAGGUUACAGGCAACUGAUCAGGAAAUGCUAUAGGGUAAAACAUCAUAAACUACAUAUCUCAGCAAACAUACAGGAAUGUAAAAGAAUUAAUUUUCUGCCGACCAGAAAAAUAAAAACCUGAAAAAGAAAAACAACCAGUUUCAUGCUUAAUUGCACAUGUAAACCCCACUUGCAAACCUGUCAUCCACCUCAUAAAAAUCUGUCUUACCCUCAGAAGCAGGACGCAGAGAAAUUCCAGACAAAGAUUUACUUCCUUGUCCUGAAAAUUUAACAUGGCAAACCACUUCAAAAUCUAUAUCAUCAUCUUCAUCACCAAUAUCCACAGGCAUCCUCACUCUUAAUCUACCAGGAUUGCCCUUAAGGGGAAUCUCAGGAACAUGCCAUUUGAUUUCCUUCUCAGACCUAUUCAAGACUGCUUUUGGUGAAACCUUCAACAGUGUUGGGUCUACAGGCAGUUUCAGGACAAAUGUCACAUCGUUCAGCGGUGCUGGUAAAUCUGGAUUUGACACAUAUUGUAUCAUUACAGAAAGUAAAGUCCCACUGAGACGUUUGACAAGUCUAACCCUCAAAGGCAAUGGAGUCAAACGUGGUAACAAACUAUACUUGACAAUUGGAAUAGGUUCUCCUGAUGGAGCAGUCCUAACAUGGAACAAACCAUUUCCAAGGCUACUUACACGUGAGCUUUGCAGUACAAACCUCUUAACACUGCCUGUAUUCUCAACUUUAAAUGAAAACUCAGUCUCUCUAUCAUCAGAAGGCUUUGGAGGUAAUGUCCUCAAGUAAACAACACCCGUCAAUCCAACUCUAGCAAGCAAUGAUUCCCUGAACUCUGCACUAAUCUCUUCUGCAAUGUACAUUUCCGGACCCUUCAUUUCAGUUUUCUUUACCAACACAUCCUCGAGAUUCUUACCAGCACCGUCAGCAGCAGCUGCAGCAGUCUUGACUGGCGGAUCACUAGUUUCUAACAAUUCAAGCCCACCAAGCCCCUCAUGUUUCUUGACCUUCUUUGACUCCACAUAAUCAGAAGCAUCCAAUCCCCCACCCCAAGCAUCACUAAACCCUUCGAAGUCUUCGCGUAACGUUGACCCGUCAUUGCUAAACUCAAUUCCGCCAUAGUUCCCUUCAAAGCCUUCAACACCUAUAUGCGUGGACUCAGUAGCCGCAGCAGGUGGCAGUGUAGUAACCUCAAGCCCCGCCAAUGCCUUAGUCAAAUCUGAACUCUGAUCCUUGUCCUUCUUAAACCCUUCCACAAGAGACGCAGGCUGGUUAAUCUUCUCACUGGCUGCAAAAGGAUCCUUCUCUUCCUCCUCCUCCUCUACCUCACCUUCUUCCUUCUCAUCACCCUGACCACCACUGAACGCCAUCGUGGCAGCCACUUCAUCCCCAGCCUCCAAAGUCUCCUGAGGCAAUUCAAACACAGCCUUGGAGAAUGCUUCCAAGCCACCCUCAUGUUCCACAGAAUGCACCUCUAAAUUAACCCAACUAUCCGCCCCACGGAUUUUAUUCUCCGUAUUGAUAGCAGAAUGCACCAUUUUAGCAAUGCUAUCACCGUGCAUGGUGGCAAGCAUUGCCGCAAGCCUAAUGCUACUCACACCCCUCAAAACUAUAUCCAAAGCCAUAUAAAUUUCAGCAUAUUUCUUACUUAACUUCUCAGGGGUAACAUCUACACCCCGGCAAGCCGUGACAACAACACUAACAGCCUGAUUAACAAUACUAAUGCAUUCAAAAACAUUAUUAUUGGUCUCAUCAGCAGUAGUAAUUCCCAAAACAUAAAUUGAAUUAACUAAACGGUAAACGACCCGAUACCGGCUUUCGACGCCCACAAUCACUUGACCGCUCGAGGCGGCAAGUGGGUCGUCACCGAGGGAUGAAGGGUCGGCGGAGGAGUUGUCAGAAUUGGAGGCGACGGCAGCGGAUUGUUGUUUAGAGGAAAAUGCUAAGCGGGUUUUGCGGAAUGCUGAAAGGGCCAUCAGGGCCCGAGAUGGGGGAAACCAUUCACGGGUUUGGAGCAAAACGUCGGGCCCAUUUGUGGGUUGAAGGGAUAGUGCUAAACAGGACAUCGGGGUUUAAUCUGGAUUGGAUCAGAUCUUACGAGGUUUUUCCUUUGUAUAAUUCUUUUUGAGUUUGGAAAUGAAAUCAAAGGUAAUGGGGAUUGAAUACUUACUUGAAUGAGAAUUUGAGCUGGGUAUCGAUGAUUUUGGAGCUUCCUGUGAUGAUUGUUUGUUUAUUACAGAGAUCGGAGCUCUGGUGCGUAUGAGAGAGAGAGAGAGAGAGAGGUGAAAGAGGAAAGGCAGAAGGAAUGGACCCGGGUAGACGAACCUCAAAGAAGGUUUGGGCUGGGCUGAAAGUUGGAUCUUUGGGUGGGUUGGGGUAAAUUUAGGUUAUACAAUCAUUGGCUGAUUUUCUCCCCUUUUUUUUUUUGUGAUAUAAUUGAAUCAAUUCUUUUCACCUUAUUAUUCAAUCCAACCCUUCUUCUUAUUUAAUCCAACCCUUCUUCGAUUUUCUUCCUUUUAUAAUGUCGUUUUUCUUUAAAAGUUGAUAAUUUGGUUAAUUUAUUUUACUCGUCUUCCUUUUGUUCAAAUGAACCGCAAAGAGACUUUUUUUUGGUUGAAAAAAAAAAGAAAUUACAAGAACGUGUUUUUUGGUACAAAAAGUAUUGGUUGAAAAAAUUUUGAACGAUUUUGGCUCUAGUCAUAAGUAGAUUCUAGUUAGUGACCAUUGAAGUGUGCUUAAUCUACUCUCUCUUUCUUUUUUUACUCGUCUCGGGCAUGCGAGUUUUUGUGAAAAAAUAGUCCGAUCUUACCAACUAUAAAGCAUGUUAAAGGUACAAAAUGUCUCUAUGCACUUUGAAUUCAGUCCUUUUUGUGCAUUUUCAAUUAUGGAACUUAGAUCAUGGGUUUGGGCCAAGUUAGUGAAACCUUGAACUACUUUGCCUUAAUUGGCCUUCAGGGUCAGUGGAUCUAUUUCCGGCGCAACAGUACAUUUGAAAGAGACUGGUGUACUCUCUGUACAAAUAAUUGUACAUCUCAAGAAACUUUUCCCGAGCUGGAAAGCCAGUACUAAAUGAUUUACGAACCCUUUGGCGCCUUGCCUAUUCAAAAUUCCAAAUGCGGUACCACCAAUGAACCCAGCAGCCCUCCUGCAACACCCUCUUCCCACCCGCACCACGAAAUGCACCACCGGUUGCCCAAUCCUCGACAGCUUCUUACACGGCGGCAUCCCUUGCAACUCAAUUACAGAGAUAGUCGCCGAGAGCGGCUGCGGCAAAACCCAAAUCUCCCUCCAACUCCUCCUCUCUGCUCAACUUCCGACCUCCCUCGGUGGUCUCUCCGCCUCCUCGCUUUACCUCCACUCCGAGUUCCCCUUUCCCUUCCGCCGCCUCCACCAGCUUGCCCUCUCAAACCCCACUCUCCAAAAUCCGUUAGACAAUAUACUAAUCCAUCCUUUACAUUCUGCGGACCACCUGCUCGACUUAUUGUCCCGCCUGGAUCCCCUCCUUGUACACCCACCACCGCAGACCCGUCUCCCUAUUAAACUCAUUGUUAUUGAUUCCAUUGCUGCUUUGUUUCGUUCUGAAUUUGAUAAUAACCCGAGUGAUUUGAAGAGGAGGUCGGGUUUAUUCUUUAAGAUUUCGAGCAAGCUCAAGGCACAGGCAAUGCGGUUUGGACUGGCUGCGGUGGUUACUAAUCAGGUUACGGAUAGUGUCGAUUCUUCGGAUGGAUUGAGGAUUGGGAACUCUUGGUUUCUUUAUUCUUCUGGGAGGAGGGUCUGUGCUGCACUUGGGUUAUCUUGGGCUAAUUGUGUGAAUACAAGGCUCUUCUUAUCGCGAGAUGAGGAAAAUGUUAAAGACGAUGAUGGUGACAUUGUCAAUACAAGAACGAGGACAAGGAGAUUCAUCAGCGUUGUAUUUGCGCCGCAUUUGCCUCAUUCAUCAUGUGAGUUUUUUAUUGCAAAAGAAGGGGUUUUGGGGUUUGAUAGUUGCAAUGACUUCCAUUUAGAAAAUAGAGAGCUCUAAUGAUGCAAAAGGUGAUGAUAAAAGAGGCAAAUCUGGGUUUUCUUCCCUUGUCUUUUUUACUUUAAUUUUUCUCUGUUUUGUAAUUAAUGCGAUCGGGCUGAAGAAAAAUGUAAGAGAAGUUUUGCAAUAGACUGGGGAAAAUUUCCCACUGUUGUGGGUUUUGUACAGCAUGUAAAAUUUCAUUUAAUUUGUGAGACAUCAUUCCUCUUUGCUCGAGGUAUUCUCUGAAUCUGUGAAUUUCUGUAAUGCAUUGACAAAUAACAUGGAAUUUUUUUUUUAAGACCCCGAAAAUGGUAGUUUUCCUAACGAUAAUCAAUAAAUAUUCACAGAGAACACUGAAGUGAGAGGCACUUGAUUACAUUCAAUUUACCAACUGAAGAACUGCAUUCGAUCUGCUGAACCAGUAUGUUGCAUACAAUGUGAAAACCUCUAUUAUAAGGACUAAAACAACCACAUGACUUAAAUUCUAUCGAUAUUACGCCUCAUAUUUGAAGCUCAGACUGAAUGGCUGUACUUUGUCCAUGCCCCAUACUCGUUCAACAUUUUGGAACUUGUGUUGAAGUCCCCAGGAUCUCUGCUAGU
rnacentral:lncRNA from 1 species